CUGGCGAUGAGGGAUGAACCUAAUGUGGGGCUGAGGUGCUUAAUUACUUGCUCAUUUGAUACCAGACAGGGUGUUGGUUCAUUUUAACAGCAAGGCGGUGGUCAUGGAAGACGAAAUCCGCUAAGGAGUGUGUAACAACUCACCUGCCGAAUGGACUAGCCCCGAAAAUGGAUGGCGCUCAAGCGGGUGACUGAUACCCAACCAUUGUUGUAAACAACAUCAAUGUGUAGGAGGGCAUGGUGGCUUGUGACACAGCCUUUGGUGAACACCUAGGUCCAACAGCUUCAAG
rnacentral:rRNA from 1 species